UCCAACUCGUUGGGAGCUCGGGGCCCCCGGUAAACCUGCAGGCGGGCCGCGAAUUCUCUAGUGAUUGUGCCAGCAGCCGCGGUUAAUACGUAGGGUGCAAGCGUUAAUCGGAAUUACUGGGCGUAAAGCGUGCGCAGGCGGUUUUGUAAGUCUGACGUGAAAGCCCCGGGCUCUACCUGGGAAUUGCGUUGGAGACUGCAAGGCCUUGAAUCUGGCUGAAGGGGGUUCGAAUUUCCCCCUUGUCCCCGUGAACUGCCGUAGCGCAUCCUGGAACCGAAUCCAUCCAUUUGUCUAAAAGAUAGCCCACUCUGGGGUCCAAAAAUUUAGACU
rnacentral:rRNA from 1 species